GGAUGCAGUAACUCUGACUGUAAUAAAGUAGCAUAAUUAGUUGUCAUUUAAUUGAUGGAGAGAAUGAAUGGUUACACGAAUUUUUCACUGUCUUAAGAAAAAUUUUUUAAAAUUGAAAUAAUAGUUAAGAUGCUAUUUAAAAUUGUAAGACGAAGAGACCCUAUAGAGCUUUACUAUAAACUUUUUUUUUAAAUAGUAAUAAAAAAUUAUUAAAAUUAGAAAGUUUGGUGGUUUAGUUGGGGCGACUGUUUUUUAAAAAUAACAAAAAUAAGCAAUAUAAUAAAUUUAUUUAUUGUAUAAUUAAACAAUUUAACAAUUACUAUAGUAGGCUAUAAUGACCCGUUAUUAUAACAAACAAUAAAUAACGAUUAAUUAAUAAAAGCUACCUUAGGGAUAACAGGA
rnacentral:rRNA from 1 species